GUCUACGGCCAUGCUACCCUGAACAAUUCUGUCUGCUCUCGGAAGCUAAGCAGGGUUGGGCCUGGUUAGUACUUGGAUGGGAGACCACCUAGGAAGACCAGGUGCUGUAUGCA
rnacentral:rRNA from 1 species